rnacentral:rRNA from 1 species
AGAGUUUGAUCAUGGCUCAGAUUGAACGCUGGCGGCAGGCCUAACACAUGCAAGUCGAGCGGUAGCACAGAGAGCUUGCUCUCGGGUGACGAGCGGCGGACGGGUGAGUAAUGUCUGGGAAACUGCCUGAUGGAGGGGGAUAACUACUGGAAACGGUAGCUAAUACCGCAUAAUGUCGCAAGACCAAAGUGGGGGACCUUCGGGCCUCAUGCCAUCAGAUGUGCCCAGAUGGGAUUAGCUAGUAGGUGGGGUAACGGCUCACCUAGGCGACGAUCCCUAGCUGGUCUGAGAGGAUGACCAGCCACACUGGAACUGAGACACGGUCCAGACUCCUACGGGAGGCAGCAGUGGGGAAUAUUGCACAAUGGGCGCAAGCCUGAUGCAGCCAUGCCGCGUGUGUGAAGAAGGCCUUCGGGUUGUAAAGCACUUUCAGCGGGGAGGAAGGCGAUAAGGUUAAUAACCUUGUCGAUUGACGUUNAACCUGGGAACUGCAUUCGAAACUGGCAGGCUAGAGUCUUGUAGAGGGGGGUAGAAUUCCAGGUGUAGCGGUGAAAUGCGUAGAGAUCUGGAGGAAUACCGGUGGCGAAGGCGGCCCCCUGGACAAAGACUGACGCUCAGGUGCGAAAGCGUGGGGAGCAAACAGGAUUAGAUACCCUGGUAGUCCACGCCGUAAACGAUGUCGAUUUGGAGGUUGUGCCCUUGAGGCGUGGCUUCCGGAGCUAACGCGUUAAAUCGACCGCCUGGGGAGUACGGCCGCAAGGUUAAAACUCAAAUGAAUUGACGGGGGCCCGCACAAGCGGUGGAGCAUGUGGUUUAAUUCGAUGCAACGCGAAGAACCUUACCUGGUCUUGACAUCCACAGAACUUUCCAGAGAUGGAUUGGUGCCUUCGGGAACUGUGAGACAGGUGCUGCAUGGCUGUCGUCAGCUCGUGUUGUGAAAUGUUGGGUUAAGUCCCGCAACGAGCGCAACCCUUAUCCUUUGUUGCCAGCGGUNGGCCGGGAACUCAAAGGAGACUGCCAGUGAUAAACUGGAGGAAGGUGGGGAUGACGUCAAGUCAUCAUGGCCCUUACGACCAGGGCUACACACGUGCUACAAUGGCAUAUACAAAGAGAAGCGACCUCGCGAGAGCAAGCGGACCUCAUAAAGUAUGUCGUAGUCCGGAUUGGAGUCUGCAACUCGACUCCAUGAAGUCGGAAUCGCUAGUAAUCGUAGAUCAGAAUGCUACGGUGAAUACGUUCCCGGGCCUUGUACACACCGCCCGUCACACCAUGGGAGUGGGUUGCAAAAGAAGUAGGUAGCUUAACCUUCGGGAGGGCGCUUACCACUUUGUGAUUCAUGACUGGGGUGAAGUCGUAACAAGGUAACCGUAGGGGAACCUGCGGUUGGAUCACCU